UUUUGUGGGGUGCUCGAGUGGCGAACGGGUGAGUAACACGUGAGUAACCUGCCCUUGACUUUGGGAUAACUUCAGGAAACUGGGGCUAAUACCGGAUAGGAGCUCCUGCUGCAUGGUGGGGGUUGGAAAGUUUCGGCGGUUGGGGAUGGACUCGCGGCUUAUCAGCUUGUUGGUGGGGUAGUGGCUUACCAAGGCUUUGACGGGUAGCCGGCCUGAGAGGGUGACCGGCCACAUUGGGACUGAGAUACGGCCCAGACUCCUACGGGAGGCAGCAGUGGGGAAUAUUGCACAAUGGGCGGAAGCCUGAUGCAGCAACGCCGCGUGCGGGAUGACGGCCUUCGGGUUGUAAACCGCUUUCGCCUGUGACGAAGCGUGAGUGACGGUAAUGGGU
rnacentral:rRNA from 1 species